UGACGAGGUAGGCGAGUCCGCGGCCCGCGGCGUCGACGACCGCCGCGGCUCGGGCGGGUCGCACGCGGCGAACCGGUUCGGUGUCGGGCUCGUCGA
rnacentral:tRNA from 1 species